GUGGAUUGGAUCAGCUCAGCAGUCUCAUCCAAUCACAGCAGAGCAUGCCCCUCACUGUGUCCCUCCAGCCAAUCCAUUCAAGUAUCUUCUUCACUGAGGCGGAGCUCAGAAUGAAGAAGAGAGAGAGAGAGAGCAGCUGAGCAGUUAGAACAAAGAGCUGAGACACCCACCCAACACUGAACCAUUCAUUGGAGGAGGGGAGAGGAGCAGAUGUGUGCAGACUAUGACAGACAGACUUGGAGAGCUUCUGAGAGUCAUAAGCCUCUGAAACUAGUGAGGGCAUCCCUCCAUCCUUUGCUUCAUUUCAGGCUGACCGCAGUGAGGCCUGGUGCAAAGCUUGAUCCUGAGCAUGUCCUGAGCAGCUGUGUAGAUCUGCUGAUAGAGUGACAAAGGGUUUUUUACAUUAAUUUCAGAAGGAUCUCACUGACAAAGAGAGAAGUGAUGGGAGCAGAAAGAAAGCAGCUAUUUUCAGUGUGGAGAAGAUAGAGCCGCAGACAUGGAACAGAAUAAACUGAUGGAGAGUGUUAAACAAAGGCUUAAAGACCAUCUUCGGGACAAGUUUACAUGGAUACAUGAGGGGACAUCGGAUAGUCGGUCUCGACUUGACAGUGUCUACACAAGACUGUUCAUCACCCAGCAAGCUCAGGAAUUUAGUUCCAUACCACACGAGAUUCUAGAUCACUUUAAUGUCCCAGAUCAGCAGUCACCAUUUUCAGAGGUUAAUUAUCAACAGAUUGACUUCCUGAAUAUCUUUAAACCAGGAAGAAGCAAUGUCCAACAGCAACCAGCAAAAGACAAGGCAAUCCAAAGAGUCUUGACGAAAGGGAUCGCUGGUAUUGGAAAGACAUUCACUGUCCAAAAUUUUGCCCUCAACUGGGCCGAAGGAAAAUCCAACCAGCACAUUGAUUUUAUCUUUGUGCUCCUCUUUAGAGAGCUGAACAUGCUCAGAGAUGGUGACUACAGUCUGCUGCAACUUCUUCUUUGUUUCUACCCUGAACUGAAACCCCUGGAAGGUAUGCAGCAGCUUGUUAACAAGCAGGUGCUGUUCAUCUUUGAUGGCUUGGAUGAAAAUAGAUUUCCACUGGACUUUGAUGGAAGUGUAAGAAUGGAUGACAUGAAUCAGAGAUCAACAGUCAAUGUGUUGCUGACCAACCUCAUCAAAGGCAACCUGCUGCCUGGUGCUCUGCUGUGGGUAACAUCCAGACCUGCAGCAGCCAGUCAGAUUCCUUCAAAAUACAUUGAUCAGAUGACAGAAGUCCAAGGCUUCACUGAGCGACAAAAAGAAUUAUACUUUAGUAAGAGAUUCAGCACAGCCAGCCAGGCCAAAGAAGUCCUGUCUUGUCUUAGAGGAAUGAUAAGCUUCUAUUUUAUGGGCCAUAUUCCAAUCUUUUGCUGGAUCAUUGCUGAGGUGUUUAGGAAAGGAUGGAGUGAUGAAAAGAGUCGCAGGAUCACAACAAUGACAGAACUGUACAUUUAUUAUUUACUCAUUCAAACACAAAGAACAACACAGAAAUAUGCAGGGAAAAGCUCAAAGAAGAGAGCCAAAAAGAAAAAGUCUCAGGCCCAGAAUUCUGCCAUGCUGUCAAACCUGUCCAAGUUGGCAUUUGAUCAGCUGCAGAAAGGAAACAUCAUAUUCUAUGAAGAGGACCUCAGAGAAAGUGGCAUCAACGUUGAUGAAGCUUCAGUGUUUUGUGGGUUUUGCUCAGAAAUCCUGAAGGAAGAACGUGGUCUGUACAAGAAAAAGAUGUUCAGCUUUGUGCAUUUAAGCUUUCAGGAGUUUCUUGCAGCUCUUUACAUGCACCACUGCUGCAUGACAAAGAACAUCAACACUUUGAAGUCUUUCCUGAGUACUGAUCCUACAGAUAUGAGCUUUCUUGAACUACAGAAAAAGGUUGUGGAUAAAGCCAUGCAAAGUGAGAAAGGUCAGUUAGAUCUGUUUCUCUGUUUCUUCCUUGGAUUUUCCCUGGAGUCCAAUCAAACCAUGCUGCAGAGUUUACUGCCUCAGGCAAAGAGCAGCUCGGACACCAGUGAAGAGAUGAAGGGAUACCUAAAAAAUUUCAGUGUUGAAAACAUUCCACAAGAGAGGUGUAUGAAUCUUUUCCUCUGCAAGAUGGAGCUCAAGGAAGAGAGAUUUCAGGAUGACAUCAGAAUGUAUCUAAAUUCAGGAGUGAGACUCUCACCCAUUGACUGUUCAGUACUGUCCACCAUGCUGCAGAUAUCUGGGGAAGUGGUUGAGGAACUUGAUCUGACAAAAUCCAUUACACCAUUUAUAGGGACUGAGAAACUUGUCCAGCAAUUGAAGAACUGCAAAAAGGCUGUACUCAAGAAUGGUCAUUUAAGCAAUGAUUGUCUAGGUGUACUACUGUCCAUACUUCAGUCAGCAGACUCUUGCUUGAGAGAGCUGUGCCUGGUGUAUUUUUCUAACUUCAAUGAUGAUUUUCCGUACGAUCUCGUUGCUGUACUGGGAAGUCCUGACUGUAAACUGGAGACACUGAGGUUUUCUGGGUUUUCUCUAGACUUUAGGAAUUGUCACAAAAUGGUCUCUAUCCUUCAAUCAGAACUAUCACCCCUGAAGGCGCUGCAUUUGACCAACUGCAUAUGCAGUUAUCCAAAGGACUGCAGUGGAUAUUGUACAAAAGACAUGAAGACAAAUGAGAACUAUGUAGAGUCCAGUGAUGAAUUCCCCCCACUGACUAUGAUUCCUUCUGCUUUGAUUGGUCCGAUCUGUAAACUGGAGAAGUUCAGCAUGCCUGGAUGUUACCUGAAAAAUAAAUGCUGUCAGGUUUUUGCCUCAGUUCUCAGCUCUAACUCCCAGUUGAGAGAGCUUGACCUCAGUCGCAAUGACUUGCAGGAUUUAGGCGUGCAGCUGCUCUCUGUUGGACUUGGGAGUUCUAGAUGUCGGCUGGAAACACUGAGGCUGUCACGCUGUGGGAUCACAGAGGACGGCUGUGUCUCUCUGGCUUCAGCUCUGAAAUCCAACCCCUCCCACCUGAGAGAGCUGGACCUUAGCUACAAUCAUCCUGGAGUGUCAGGAGUGAAAGUGCUCUCUGAGCAACUGGAAAACCCCAAAUGUAGACUGGAAGAGCUCAAUGUCGACCAUAAUGAAGAACACUGGGUCAACCCACAUCUUCUGAGCAAGUAUGCCUGUGAUCUUACAUUCGACCCCAACACUGUGAACAAAAACCUCCUGCUAACUGAGUACGACAGGAAAGUGAGCUACACUCAGGAAAAGCAGCCCUAUCCUGAUCAUCCAGAGAGAUUUGACCAAAUAAAUCAGGUGCUGUGUAGAGAGGCUCUGACUGGGCGCUGCUACUGGGAGGUGGAGUGGGAAGCAUUUGUGAAUAUUGGUGUUGCGUAUAAGAGCCUACAGCGGAAGGGACACUGGGCCAUAGAAAUUGACCGAACCAACAAGAGUUGGUGUUUCAAUAUCACCUCUUCAAAUGGUUACUCCUUCCGACACAACCUGAAGGAAACUUUUAUACCAGUCCCACACAUUGAUGUCCAAGAAUUCCCAACAAAAACCAAGAGACUGGGACUGUUUCUGGACUGGCCAGCCGGCGUUCUCUCUUUCUACUUGGUGUCUGAUGACACGAAAACUCUCAUUCAUACCUUCCACACCACUUUCACUGAGCCUCUCUACCCAGCAUUCACUGUUUAUUUAGGAUCCUCUUUGACCCUGUCCAGUGUCCCGAAGAUGAAAAUGUAUACUGCUCAAUCAAGCUUCACACCUGAGAUGAGAUUAGAAAGAACAGGCAUUUCAUACAGGUUCACGUUCCCUGGUCCGGGGUUGUUCCGGUGUUCUUUGACUGGUCUGGUCUUCGAUGUGACUCAUGAGAGCGAGGUCACCUACAGGACUCUGAUCUGGGAUCCUAUGGUUCUCCAGCCAGCGCACAAGGUGGCUGGAGGCCCGCUGUUCAGCAUCGAGUGUUCUCAGGACUCUGUUCGUCAGCUGCACCUCCCACACUGUGAGCCUGAGCCUGCACUGGUCUCUGACAGCAUCGCUGUUGUUCACAUCACGGAUGAUGGCAUGAGCAUCAUACAGCCUCUGGAGAUCACUGAAACUCACGUGGUCGUGGACGUUCCUCACCUCUCUGCCUUUGGCAUCGUCUGGGAUCUCACCGCGCGGUUUUUCAAUUACGGGACAAAACCCAUUCGUGGCCAAGUCCUGCUGUUCCUCAGAAACAGGCCGCGCCUCAUCCUCAGUGUGAUGCUGCUACCAGGAAACGUCCCUCUGCACGACGUGAAAGCGCAGCACACUACUUCAGAGUACAUCGAAGUGCCGUCCUUCUGUUAUUUCCACAAAGGCCAAAAGUACAGUCUCAACAGCGCCCCACAGGACUUUAAAAUCCAGCCUGCAUGUGCAGAGUUUUUUGAAAAUUAUGGACCAAAUUACCACCCGACCUUUGAGAUCAUCCUGACCAUGAGCACAGAGGAAGUGACGUUGAUGGUGCAAGAUCCAGAAAAGACACAAGUGUGGGAGCAUGACCUCCAUCUGCCAGCUUCAUCCUCUCAUGAUUCUCCAGCUGGAAGUCCUCCUCAGAUGGGGAUCAACACCUCAGCAGAGAAGCUGCGACGAGCUCGGACAAACUUCAUCGAUAAAGUGUCGGAUCCGGUUCUGAACAAGCUGCUGGAUGAGCUGCAGCACUUCACCGUACUGACCGACGCUGAGGGCGAAGCAGCCAGAGCCAAACCCAGAGCCGACAAAGCACGAGACCUGAUCGACACGGUGCGAAAGAAAGGAGCAGAAGCAAGUUCAAAACUGAUCGACGUCUUUCAUGCCAACGAUCCGUACCUGUGCAAAGAGCUCAGCUUAAUGUGAAGCAGAAAUCUGUGGAGUGACGAUCACAUGCUAACAUCACCAAGCACAACACACACUCCACAAAAGAAGAAAAACCAACACUGAUGUGACUUCAGAGGCUUUAACUGUUCGAUUGUGUGAGGUUCAAGCUGAGACUGAUCAACACUAAAAAAGCCAAAGCUGACAUUCCUGCAUUUUCCCAUCAACACAUCAAAAAGUGUGCUCAGUGAAUAUUAUGCUGAGAGUGCUGUGCUGCCAGCUGGGAUUAAUAUUGCAUAUCAGCUAUAUUUUAGCUAUAUUGGAGCUUUGUGGCACAACAGCCUCUGAAAACAGAAUAGAGGAGCAAGAAGAAGCGCUCCAGCUAGAUAAUUCACCUACAGACCAGACAGAGAGAUGAAGUGAAUUAAUUUCUAUAUGAUCAAAUGAUGUGGCAACAUUAUUCUCAUUGCAUCAAAUGUCAGAUGCUGCUGGGUUCUCAAUGCUGUGAGAUAACUGGUUUCAAAGAGCAGCCAGUAGACUGUAGUUUGAGUCCUGUUUGGAACUUUGUUUUUCUUGUUUUCAUUUUUGCUUAUGAGGAUGAGGUUUGGUGAUGGAGGCACAAAAUCUGCAGAGUUCUUUAUGAGGCCUCACAGACGAGGAGUUGUUACAGACUGAGUCUGGUGGAAAGUCUUUUCAGCCUCCUCACAACCUUAACACAAUCUACAGAGUGGAUCCUCUUCAAAAGCAAAUCCAGACUCUUCUAAUCCCACCAGUUCAUCAGGAUCCAGGAGUGUCAGCUUAAGAUUCAUGUGCUGACAUUCAGGGUCAGGAGGUCAGAGCUCCCUGAGGGAUUUCCAGACAAAGAUGGAGCUCCUUCAUCUGUGUGUCAUUAGCUCAGUCUUCACAAAGCAGCAAACAGCGGUCUUCUCUGCUGCAUGAAUCGCUGCCACGGGAGAAGCAGCAGCAGAGUGGACGUCUUCACUGAGAGCCGUGCUCUCCUGUGGCAGCCGCUCUUCGAUGGUCUUCGAUGAGCUGAUGGCUGUGAGAAGGACUGAGGAAGAGGACGUGAUCCUCCUGAAAGAAAUGAGGCAGCACUGGACGUCUGACAGGCAGAGGGAGCUGAGUCUGCAGGAUGCUGCUGUGGAGGAAGGUCUGUGGGCACACUGAGCUCAAAGCUAAACUGCAGAUGCAGGUGAAGGUGUCGGAGAGGAAUACCUCAGGAUCUUCCAGACUCCUGGGACUCCUGCAGAACCACUGAAGGGGCUUGAUGAUGAAGAUGGCAGAGGGAUGUAUGAGAGCACUUCAGAAAGCAGUUGUGAUGAUGAGGAUGUGUAGCUGUGUGACACCAGCAGAGGCGCCUCAUGGACGAUGUCCAUCAGCAUGACUGCUCUCUUCUGGCAAGACCUCACCUGCUGCCUCCUCCCUCCAUCCCUGACAAUCACAGCUGACUAUUGUGUUGAGCUUCUCUGUUAAAUCAGUUAAAUGUAAAUUCCUCAGAUCAAACCCGCCACACCUUUGGUCAAAUGCAGCAAUUUGCUCCUCACCAUCAUCCAGCUCUACAUCAGGUGUGUGCACUGUGAAGAUUCAGUCCUGGAGCUGGCCGUAAGAAACAAACAUGUGAUUCACUGAGCCUGUUGCUUCAGCUGCUCUUUUCACUCUGUGGAUUUCAGAGACCUUUUGCUAGAAUGGCAGUUUAUUCUUUAGAAUUAGACCAUCAGCAGCCGUUUGCAACUAUCUGAGAUUUGGUGUCACCU